rnacentral:rRNA from 1 species
AGAUCCCGGAGAGGGAGCCUGAGAAACGGCUACCACAUCUAAGGAAGGCAGCAGGCGCGCAAAUUACCCAAUCCUGAUACAGGGAGGUAGUGACAAGAAAUAACAACACUGGAAAUUUCAUUUCUAGUGAUUGGAAUGAUAGGAAUCCAAACCCCUUACAGAGUAACAAUUGGAGGGCAAGUCUGGUGCCAGCAGCCGCGGUAAUUCCAGCUCCAAUAGCGUAUAUUAAAGUUGUUGCAGUUAAAAAGCUCGUAGUUGGAUUUCUGCUGGAAGCAGCCAGUCCGCCCUCAGGGGUGUGCACUUGGUGAAUUCUAGCAUCCUUCUGGAUUUCUCCACACUUCAUUGUGUGGAGUUUUUUCCAGGACUUUUACUUUGAGAAAAUUAGAGUGUUUCAAGCAGGCUUGUCGCCU